GCCAUCCAAUCUCAGACCUUCAGGCUGCUAACAGCGUCGCAGCCCAACCAGCCUGGCAGCCCACUUGGCACCUGCUGGAGAGCACCAGCUUCACCUGGGCACCUGAGGAUGAGUCUGAAGGAGAGGGAGAGGACAGGCAAGACUGUCUUCAUGGAUCAUCUCUUCUGAAUACAAGUGGUUAUUCAUGGCCCUCCAGGGACUAGAACUUACAAAACAGCAUUUUGCUCAUCUAAAUAUUAUUUGCUAGAAAUCAUGUAAAGCAAUAUCUGAAACCCUAAAAGUCCUGCUCAAGUUACAACAACUGAAACUGAAACAAAAUUUAAAUGUGAUGUGUCCUGAAAAUUCUUUUCCUGUGAUGGAAGCCAGUGAACCUGAAAUCUAUUCCAUGGGUAGUGUGGGUUAAGCUCCUUUCUUCAGCUUCAAGAACCUCCUAAGAACUUGACCAGUAACAUUUUCUCUUCAUGAGCCAGCCAGGAGAUAAAAGGAGUGUUUCCCACAGGACCUGACUAGGCUCGAGAGUGACUCAUCACCUCGCGAAACAGUCAAACUAAGUGAGUUGGAGCUGAGUGUCAGAGGGAUGAGAGGACAGAAAGGAGAAGAAAAGAAAAGAUGUAGAACAGAGGGAGUAAAGACCAGAACAAAGAAGAUUAAUGAAGGCUGCUGCUGCUGGUGGUGUCUUCAUACUCUGUAGAGCAAAGAAAACUGCAUUUUAAAAUCAUGUAUCCAGGUCAAAUCCCAUGGUGCCGGGGCCAGGGCUUCAAAGCAGGAAUUUCAGGGGAACACAAUUAACCAGAGCACUCAAUGGGACAUUCAAAGGAAAUAAUUUUCCGCCGCAGUAAGUCUCGGAUGGACAGGAAUCCAGGCUGAAGCGUAUUCCAGAAGCCGAUGUGUAACAUAUAAAGCACGGCCUCUGCUCCCAGAGUCUGAAUUCUGCCCCCACUUGGCCCUAGCCUGAAGCCUCAGGGGAGCUGCGAGUUCGCAGAGGAGGCGCAGUCACCCCAGAGACCGCGCUCCUGGGCAGGAGACGGCAGCCAGGCACAGAGGGCAGUUGAAGCUCCGAGGCAGACUGGACCUGGUGGGGAACUGCAGUACUGCGCAUAGAAAUUCAGCCAAACGCUCGUUUUCUGAUAAGAAAAAAAUUGUAGGGUUUUCCUAUAAGGUAGAAUUCAAAGAGCCACAGAAAGACAUGAAAAAAAUUGGGUGUUUCAAGAGAACGGAAUAUGAAACUGCUCCCCCUACGCUGAGGGUCACUGAGGACGUUGCAGAGACAGCAGUCAGCCCUGCACGUUUUGGCCCUGGAUUCCACACUUCCUACCAUGAAGGAUGGCUCUGGCUUUGCUGACCUCUAGGGCAUGUGUAUUAAAGAACUAAU